UGCGUUCCUCAGGUUUGGCUCCUCCCUCCUCGUUUCCGGGAGCCUUGGCUGCUAUAGCCUUCCGGGGAUGCUCUGCUUUACUUCAUGUACAGAAAGACUCCGUGCUCUUAUUUGUAUCAUACAGAAAGUAAGGCUGCUAUUUGUUGUACUGGGCGACCGCCUCUUCCUACGCCGAGCUUCCAGGCUAAUAUUCCAUCCUAACUGGGAAGCCAGCCGAGUUACAGCAACGUAUUCUUCUGACGACCUUGCCACAGACCCUUGAAUCAUACGUUCUCUCUUUUGAAAUAAUAGUAAGCUUUAUCUAGCAUUGGAGGUAUUAUUCAUUUCUAAAUAUGAGAAGUUAGCGAUAAAUCUACAUACUGUGAACAUUUAUUAUCAAUGGUGGAAGACGGGAGAUAAUACACCAAGUUGUCAAAGACCAUCUGUAUUCUGGGUGUACAUCGCGGCUGAGAUGUGAAACAGACAAAAUGCCUCCCAGAGCCAGGCACACGUGGUCUGCCACCAAGUGUUUGUAUAGUGUAUUAAGUGUCUGACUUUAGAGCCCGUGAUGGGAGCAGAAAGAGAAUCCUUCUGUCAACAUUGAGAGUGGAAGUAGAGGAAAUGCAAAACAUAACACUGCCUCAAUUCUCCUGAAACUUCAAAGGCUGAGUUUCCAUAGCAGUUGCCAACCGUGGAAGGUCCUGAGUUGAGGUGGCAACCAGCAUGAAUGCUAAGCACGGGUCAAGCCCAGGCCCAGGUAAAGGAACAGAGGGAGGAACAGAGCCAGAAGACACCUGGCUGUGUGUCUGAAGCCCUUCAGGACCAGCUUCUUCAGUGAUAUGCUCAGGCUGCAGAGACCCAGGCGGUGGCUGCAUUGGCCCUGAAGUUCAAGUUGAACCCACUGUUAACGCUGUCAGAGGUCCAAAUAAGAAGACCAGGAAAGGAAGAGCAUUUUCAAUGUGUAAGAGAGUGUGCUGGAACUGACUUACUUGUCCAGUCUCAGGUUUACUUUGUUCUGACCCACAAAGCGUGAUGGUUCCCACCAGGAAAGCAUAUUUCACAAGAGGCCCCAGGAAAGACCCAGUCACUUGCUAAACACAUUAACCACAUCUUCAGCGCUCCAGCUUGAGCUGAGAAUUUGCUGCUGCUGUGUGAGAACCGGUCUAUCUGUAAUGGUGCCAAAAGCUCUUCCAAAUAAGCUCUGCUCCUUGCCGGGAGAACAAGAUGAGUUCAGGACCGUGCACUGGGAGGAACAUAGCACACUGUCUGUGCUCCCGUGUGCUCCAGCUUCCUCCUUUGCCGCAGAGAAGGAUGUUCAGAGGGAGGGAGUGCGUUCCUCAUCGCCAGCUUACUUCUUGGGCAUUAUGUUGACUUCUUUGGUUACUCUGGAUGAUUGGCAUUUCCCAAGUGUCUCUAGUCCCAUCUAUUCACUUUGGUGUUUCUUACUGUUCAUUUUUAGAAAGUUUUUCUUUUUUAAAGACUUUACAUGUCUGAGGAAUUUUCUGCCCUCACAGGGAAGUUCAGCCUGAUAUUUGGUUCCUGUUGAGCCACUCUGUGAAGCCAGUCUCUAAGCUUUCUCUGGUGGUCAGUACUCUGUGGUAUUCAUAUCCUGGUUACCAGGAGCAGGUAACAGAAAUGAUGAAAUGACAGUUCUAAAAGUGAUUUAAAAAGUUAUUUUGCUUAUUUUGAAUAGAAGACUUUUUCUUAAAAAUAUUUAAUUGUAUAAAACACAUAUUUAUAUACAUAUCUUUCUUUAAGAUGGUUCUAAAUAAGCUGAUAUCAGGGUUUUUGUUUUUUUGUUUUGUUGGGACUUGAACUCAAGCUCUUGACCACAAUAGGUAAAUACUGUACCACUGAAACACACCAUAAACUGACAUAAUUUAUUAAAAUGCUUUCAUUUAAAAUACAAAGAAAAAUUAAUAUUAAUGAAGGCAAUUAUAAAUCAACAAGAAAAAUGUUUAUUCUGAAAAAAGAUUAAUUUGCAAGAAAUUGCACGGCCUUAGAAUGUUUAAUGUUAAGUGAUAUCACACAGUCUUAGAAAGAAAACAACCUUGUGUUCUCUCCCAUAUAUAGACUCUAACCAAUACAUAGUACAUGUAUAUAUAAGCAGAUAUACAUGGGGUAUAGUGUAACAAGUUAACAAAAAUGGCUAAAUAUUAGAGGAUGUGGAAAGAUUGAAUUCAAUAAUGAACAUGAGUUAUGAAAAAGGAUAGAAUUGUGUUUCUAGUUCUAACUCAUAGAUUUCUCAUAUUUGAUGGUGGGUAAGUGCAUAAAAACGUACUUGAUGGUGAGAGUGUCACAUCUAAGUGAGGGCCCACAACUUCUGUUUUGAAAUGCUACUCUAACUAUGGAUGCUCAUUGUCAAAUCUAAGUGAGGGCCCACAGCUUCUGUUUUGAAAUGCUACUCUAACUGUGGAUGCUCAUUGAGUUCUGUUGUUUUUGGAUCAGGUUAAUUUUGGU